GGGGACCAGGUGGAUGGACUGGGGACCAGGUGGAUGGACUGGGGACCAGGUGGAUGGACUGGGACCAGGUGGAUGGACUGGGGACCAGGUGGAUGGACUGGGACCAGGUGGAUGGACUGGGGACCAGGUGGAUGGACUGUGGACCAGGUGGACCAGGUGGAUGGACUGGGGACUAGGUGGACCAGGUGGAUGGACUGGGGACUAGGUGGACCAGGUGGAUGGACUGUGGACCAGGUGGACCAGGUGGAUGGACUGUGGACCAGGUGGACCAGGUGGAUGGACUGUGGACCAGGUGGAUGGACUGUGGAACAAAAGA
ensembl:lncRNA